rnacentral:rRNA from 1 species
GACGAACGCUGGCGGCGUGCCUAAUACAUGCAAGUCGAGCGGACUUUUGGGAGCUUGCUCCCGAAAGUUAGCGGCGGACGGGUGAGUAACACGUGGGCAACCUGCCUAUAAGACUGGGAUAACUUCGGGAAACCGGAGCUAAUACCGGAUAAUUCCUUUCCUCUCAUGAGGGAAGGCUGAAAGACGGUUUACGCUGUCGCUUAUAGAUGGGCCCGCGGCGCAUUAGCUAGUUGGUGAGGUAACGGCUCACCAAGGCGACGAUGCGUAGCCGACCUGAGAGGGUGAUCGGCCACACUGGGACUGAGACACGGCCCAGACUCCUACGGGAGGCAGCAGUAGGGAAUCUUCCGCAAUGGACGAAAGUCUGACGGAGCAACGCCGCGUGAGUGAUGAAGGUUUUCGGAUCGUAAAACUCUGUUGUUAGGGAAGAACAAGUACGAGAGUAACUGCUCGUACCUUGACGGUACCUAACCAGAAAGCCACGGCUAACUACGUGCCAGCCGCCGCCGUAAUAC